CAACUUGUACCAUUAUUAGUUAGAAAAUGUUUUUAGAGUAUUUCAUGUUAAUGAGAAGUGGAACACUAUCCGUAUGUUCCCAUAAAAACAGAAUAGAAAAAAAAAAAACGAUUGUCGCUUUAUUUUGUUCUGCUUGAUUUUAUUCAGCUUACAUUUGCUGACUGUCGCAUUGUUACUGUUUUAAAAUUAUUUUUGUAUGCCUUUGAUUUGAUCUGUGUUUUAAUUACUCCCGCACAUAAGCGCAAACUAUAGGCGGAUCGCGUGCAGUAUUAUUCAUAUUUUUGAUAGUGACUAGUUCCCGUAAGUAGAAUAAUACCGUGCCACAAUAAUCACAAGUAUCAAACAUCACACAACAAAUCAAUUCAAUUCAAUCUGUUUUGUUUUGUUUUUUUGCCAACAAAUGCCCGUUUGCACCAACAAACGGAACACAUGAGCGCCUAACUAAAUAGAACGAAAGACUAUAUAUUUGAAAGUGUAUUGUUUUGAAAAAUAUAUAUAAUUAAACUAUGUCUUUCCUUAUGCGUAUACUGAAUUCACUGUAAUUGAUCCACUGCCGCUGAGGGCGAUGAAAAUUAAUUUAAUCAGACGCACAUUGGUUCUUAAAAAAAAAACUUGGUGAUGGUCCUGUAAAAAUCACACUGCGACAGAACGAGGGCCGUGAAGCAUUUUUGGGAAAAGCAGUUUUCUUCCGAAACAACCUUAGGUCUGUCAUGUUUUUCGUACGUGGACUUCAAAUCCCAGAAUCUGGCAGUAUCAGUUUACGUUGGUAUGAAUUGGAUACUCAUUUCAGUCGGGAGCAUUUAAACACGUGUUGUGGAAUGCAAUAGUUUUUUUUUUUUUUUUUUUUUUUUUUUUUUUUAUUAUUAUUAUUAUUAUUGAAGUACAGCACUGUAAAUAACUUAGAUAACUAAAUUAGACCUCAAAAAAUCUAAAUGCCGAAAGUUAAAGCAGAAAAGAAAACCCGACAAAACCAGGAAAUUAAAAGUCAAGGCUGCUCAUCGGCCAACAGAUGUGGUUUUGGAAGUUGGUCCUGGUACUGGUAACAUGACCGUGAAACUAUUAGAUAAAGCAAAAAAAGGUAGUUGCUUGCGAGUUGGAUACCAGGCUCCUAGCUGAACUUCAGAAAAGAGUGCAGUCACAUUUCCUCACCGUUUGUUUUCAAGCUGUUGCUGCACAGGCCUUAUUUCAAGUUGGCAAAAAUAACUUUUGUCCACCACCAAAGGUGGAGUCCAGUGUUGUCAGAAUAGAACCAAAGAAUCCACCACCACCAGUGAACUUUCAAAUCUAGAGCAGUUGGAGAAGAAUUACCAAAUCCACUGUUCUGUACACAACAUUGUAAUACCAGAUGAUUUUAGCAUUCUGAAAAAAUAAGCAACAUCCUUCAAGAAACUGGCUUCAGUGAAAAAUGAGCACGGCCCGUGGACAUCAAUGAUUUUAUGAA